rnacentral:lncRNA from 1 species
GGCCGCACACAAACGACAAAGAAUCUCUGCUCUUUUGCUGCAGGGCCACUUUGACUCACAGGCGGCCAACUUCACAUCUCAUCUCUGCCGUGUGAGAGGUGGCAAUGGUGUGUGUGUGUGUGUGUGUGUGUGUGUGUGUGUCUGUGUGUGUGUGUGUGUGUGGGGGGGGGGGGGGUUGAUCCACCUGCUUCAGAGUCAUCAUUUCACCCUGAUGUGAUGUCUCACCUCAGACUCUUUAGGAAUUCCAAAGCAAAUGUGAGCAUGGCUGAGCUGGCUCCAGUGCUGAGGAGGGAUGUCGUCAUCUGCCCAGUCUGCAUCAUUGGAGGGUGCCAGAAAUACCAAGAACUCCACCUGGACCCACUGCACCUGUAAAGACCUGCAAAACCAGAAGGAACCUCUGAACAGACUGACAGGAAUACGACUGCAUCCUGAAACUCUUGUGCUUCUGGAAGACCAGCUGUAGACUUUGGUAGCAAUGUUACCCACAAUUCCAUCAGCAUAUUAAUGCUUAAAUUCACACUUUUGGAAUAAAAAAUCAUUCAUAAAUUGACAGAGUGAAACUGGAGUUCUGCACUUUCUUUUCCUUAAAUGACUGUAAUUCGCUUCUAUCAGGCUGCCCAAAGAGGUUGUUAAAAACUCUCCAGCUGACCCAGAAUGCAGCUGCAGCAGGUGCUGACUGGAACCAGGAAAAGAGAUCCCAUUAGUCCAGUAUUGGCUUCUCCAGCCCACCAGCGACCUCGACUGUCAGUGGUGGAUGUAGCUAAUUUACUGCAGCUUCUAUCUGCUGACGGCUGCAAUGAAGCCAGUUAAAAGGGACACAAACCUACUUUUCUGAAUAACUAUUAAAGGUUAGACAGCGAGAAAGGAGAGGAGAACAAAAGAAAGGUUACGGACAGAGAGGAUAUCUUUAUACCGGGUUACUUGUUGCACUCCUGCCUUGGGUUGCUGGUAACCAUGGAUACCUCCGCAUCACUUUUGUUCCAAAUUUGCAGAUGCGCUUCUUUUGUGCUGUGGACCCGAUCCGUGUGUGUCGGCUG